rnacentral:misc_RNA from 1 species
AAGUCGUAACAAGGUUUCCGUAGGUGAACCUGCGGAAGGAUCAUUAUUGAACAAUCAAACCCAAUGUAAGCUGGUUGUAGCUGGCCCUCGGGCAUGUGCACGCCGGUUUGCAAUUGUUCUCCAUCCACCUGUGAACCAUUUGUAGACUUGCAACGAGUUGAAGGGGUAAAAACCUUUGACGAAAUUGUAGUCUAUGUUUUUAUAAACUCGAAAUGUCUUAGAAUGUCUUGUUAUAUUCAAAUACAAAUAUAACUUUCAGCAACGGAUCUCUUGGCUCUC